UACGUAGGGGGCAAGCGUUGUCCGGAAUCAUUGGGCGUAAAGCGCGUGUAGGCGGCUGGGUAAGUCCGCUCUGAAAGCCCGGGGCUCAACCCCGGGAGGCGGGUGGAUACUGCUCAGCUCGAGUCCGGAAGAGGAGUGUGGAAUUCCUGGUGUAGCGGUGAAAUGCGCAGAUAUCUGGAGGAACACCGGUGGCGAAGGCGGCAUCCUGGACCGAAACUGACGCUGAUGCGCGAAAGCCAGGGAGCAAACGGG
rnacentral:rRNA from 1 species